rnacentral:rRNA from 1 species
UUCCAGACUCCUACGGGAGGCAGCAGUGGGGAAUAUUGCACAAUGGGGGGAACCUUGAUGCAGCAACGCCGCGUGGGUGAAGAAGUACUCCGGUAUGUAAAGCCCUGUCAGCAGGGAAGAAAAUGACGGUACCUGACCAAGAAGCCCCGGCUAACUACGUGCCAGCAGCCGCGGUAAUACGUAGGGGGCGAGCGUUAUCCGGAUUCACUGGGUGUAAAGGGAGCGUAGACGGCCAUGCAAGCCAGGGGUGAAAGCCCGGGGCCCAACCCCGGGACUGCCCUUGGAACUGUGCGGCUAGAGUGCGGGAGGGGCAGGCGGAAUUCCUGGUGUAGCGGUGAAAUGCGUAGAUAUCAGGAGGAACACCGGCGGCGAAGGCGGCCUGCUGGACCGCGACUGACGUUGAGGCUCGAAAGCGUGGGGAGCGAACAGGAUUAGAUACCCCGGUACAG